UACGUAGGGUGCAAGCGUUGUCCGGAAUCAUUGGGCGUAAAGGGCGCGUAGGCGGUCAGCACAAGUCAGUUGUGAAAUCUCCGGGCUUAACUCGGAAAGGUCAACUGAUACUGUGCGACUAGAGUGCAGAAGGGGCAACUGGAAUUCUCGGUGUAGCGGUGAAAUGCGUAGAUAUCGAGAGGAACACCUGCGGCGAAGGCGGGUUGCCGGUGGACACUGACGCUGAUGCGCGAAAGCGGUGGGUAG
rnacentral:rRNA from 1 species